AGUGAACGCUGGCGGCGUGCUUAACACAUGCAAGUCGAACGAGUAAGUGCUGUAGCAAUACAGAUUACUGCUAGUGGCAGACGGGUGAGUAAUACAUGGGAAUCUUCCUUGAAGUCUGGAAUAACUGUUGGAAACGACAGCUAAUACCGGAUGAUACCUUAGGGUCAAAGAUUUAUCGCUUCGAGAUGAGCCCAUGCAAGAUUAGCUAGUUGGUAGGGUAAUGGCCUACCAAGGCGAUGAUCUUUAGCUGGUCUGAGAGGAUGAUCAGCCACACUGGAACUGAGACACGGUCCAGACUCCUACGGGAGGCAGCAGUGGGGAAUAUUGGACAAUGGGCGAAAGCCUGAUCCAGCGACGCCGCGUGAGUGAUGAAGG
rnacentral:rRNA from 1 species